rnacentral:rRNA from 1 species
UGGACUGAGAUGUCGAUCUGCUAUUGGUGCCUUUGAGGCUUGGCUGCCGGAGCUUACGCGUUAAAUCGACCGCCUGGGGAGUACGGCCGCAAGGUUAAAACUCAAAUGAAUUGACGGGGGCCCGCACAAGCGGUGGAGCAUGUGGUUUAAUUCGAUGCAACGCGAAGAACCUUACCUGGUCUUGACAUCCUGAGAACUUUCCAGAGAUGGAUUGGUGCCUUCGGGAACUGUCAUACAGGUGCUGCAUGGCUGUCGUCAGCUCGUGUUGUGAAAUGUUGGGUUAAGUCCCGCAACGAGCGCAACCCUUUUCCUUUGUUGCCAGCGUGUAGAGUCGGAACUCAUAGGAAACUGGCCUUGAUAAAAUGGAGGAAAGGGGGGAUGAACUCCAGUCCUCUUGGGCCUUACGACCCGGGCUACACACCUGGUACCAUGGGAUAUGCAAAUAGAAUGCAACUCGCGGGAGCGAUCGGACCCCAGAAAGUAUGUCGAAUGCCGGAUUGGAGUCUGCUAAUUGACUCCGUGAACUCCGAAUCUCUCGUAAUCGUCGAUCAGAAUGCUACAGUGACUACGUUCCCGGGCCCUGUACCCACCGCCCCUCGCACCAUGGGAGUGGGUUGCAACCGAAACUAGUAGCUUAACCUUCUAGAAGGCGCUUACCAACUUGGUAUUCAUGACUGGGGGGAAUCAUAAAAGGGGACACAA